AGUUCUUCGGUUGCUUAACGUGGAUGGCUGAAAGUUUAUGAGCAUGUAAGUUGCAAAGUUGAUGAACUUGUGUGCACUGGAGCUUCUGUAGGCUUUCCCCACAAAAAGAUAGUUUGGUUUGAACGGGGUUCCAUCAAUUGGUAUCAGAGCCAGGUUUCACUUCGCAAUCCAAUUCCACGAAGGGGCGACUAUAUACUUGUUAUUGACCGUGCAAAAGUAUCUUAGACUGUGCAAGGAUAUCUUGAGGGGAAUGCUCUGCUUUGUCUCUCACAUGUGACCUUGUUUUCCUUACAAGUCUAAUACACUUAUUUUACGUUUGGGCUUUGAGUCCCUAGAGUUGGUGGAUUUGAGAGGCCACAAAAGGGUUCCAAAAGUAUUAUAAUUGAAAGCUGUAUUGCUUUAUGUGUCUAUACCAUUGGAUGCUGCUGCUGAUAUACCUUGAAGUUUUCAUGCGCAGGAUGAGAUUAUUGAAGUUGCAUGAGUACUCUGCUAUCCUAGCCUGGUCAUGACGUUUCACUACUAGUGGUAGCUCUAUAGGAAAUCCAGGCCCAGUCAGAGCAGAGUGCCUGGUUUGCAUGCUCAAAGAGAUAGGGCUGGAGAACAAGGCAGGGGUUUGGCGUAAGCACAUAGACAAGGUAUGGCUCCAUUGGAUUGGUUCUGCAACAGUGAAACUACCCUUGUUGCGGCACUUUGCAGAUUGCUGAGCUCUGCUGUAUCCAUGCUUUGGAUGAAGGCAACAAUUGAUCCUGUGGUUUGGCUAAUCUUCGUCCUGACGCACUGGCAUGUAGACGGGUGUUGCAUAGUUUUGGUGCAUCAAUAAAUGUGCAGUCACAUUCUUUCUAGUGGAUUUGCAAGGUUUAACUGACCUAAAUCUUCAUCAUGAACCGGAAAGCUAUCUCAAAUCAGCGUAGACAAUGCGAGGAUCCUUGUAAUUCUUUAAUUAAGUCGUCGCCAUAAUGACUUGGUCAUUGUAAGGAGUGCAGCUAUGCUGAAACACGUCCCUUUCCGAAAGUUUAAAGCUUCACCGACAUUUUGGAGUCUUUUACUAGUCCCAAUCUCAAUCACUGGGUCCGUAUGGAUAAAAAGGGUUUCCUAUCUGGUGGUAGAAUCCGACAGUGUAGACCCUAAUCCGAACACCUUUGAAUGUGCAGUCUAUUAAGUUUUAUGGCCAGAGCAAUAAUGUAUAUGGAGGUUGUGUCAUGUAAGGGUGCGUGGAGGAUUUCGUUUUUCGAAGAUGAGAUUCUGUUUUCCGGAGGAUUUUGCAAUCCGAACACCUUUGAAUAUGCAGCCUAUGCCAAAUCAUGUAAAUUUUUCUAAAGCUGCAAGUGUUAGGGCCAGAGCAAUAAUGUAAAAUGGAGGCUGUGUUUAUGUACGGGUGUAUGUGAGGAUUUCUUUGUUUGAAAGAUGAGGAUUUUGUUUUCCGGAAGAUAUAAAUAUAUCAAGAACAAACAUGCAGGACCUAGCAUUCUACAGAGGACUAAAUGCAGAUACAAGAGAGCCUACAGCCAAAGCUGUGACCAUCCCCGGGAUCAUAAGUCGGAGAGAUUAGUUGUAGACGUAAAGGCUUCAAAGAUCAUAGUCUGCUGCUCAUCCCUUGUUUCAUCCCUAUAUCGUCUCUCUCGACUCCCGAGGCUGUUACAUAUAAAUCAUCUUGAAAAGUUAACUACAUGUGUCAUUUAUGCAAUCAAGUAAAUAGUUUUAUGAACGAAUGGAUCGGAUCGAAUUGAAAAAUGGAAAUAUUUAUACAAGUUAUACACCUAUGUUCACCAAUUUUAGUAAAAUAGUUAGGUAUGAGUAAUGUUAGGGUCACAUUUAUUUCUAGAGCAACACAGCUGACAUCAUCAGCUCUCUUUUGUUGGACUGCAUCCAAACCAAAAGCAAG